GGCAGCAGUGGGGAAUCUUCCGCAAUGGACGCAAGUCUGACGGAGCAACGCCGCGUGUAUGAAGAAGGUCUUCGGACUGUAAAGUACUGUCUUUGGGGAAGAAAGGUAGUUUUGAGAAUAUUGAGACUAGCUGACGGUACCCAAGGAGGAAGCCCCGGCUAACUACGUGCCAGCAGCCGCGGUAAUACGUAGGGGGCGAGCGUUGUCCGGAAUUAUUGGGCGUAAAGGGCGCGUAGGCGGAUAAUUAAGUCCGGUGUGAAAGAUCAGGGCUCAACCGUGAGAGUGCAUCGGAAACUGGUUAUCUUGAGUACAGGAGAGGAAAGUGGAAUUCCACGUGUAGCGGUGAAGUGCGUAGAUAUGUGGAGGAACAUCAGUGGCGAAGGCGACUUUCUGGACUGUAACUGACGCUGAGGCGCGAAAGCGUGGGUAGCAAACAGGAUUAGAUACCCUGGUAGUCCACGCUGUAAACGAUGAGUACUAAGUGU
rnacentral:rRNA from 1 species